rnacentral:rRNA from 1 species
CAUUCUGUAGCAAUACAGGGUGUGGGCGCGUGGCGAACGGGUGCGUAACACGUGGAUAACCUUCCUUGAGGUGGGGAAUAACCCAGUGAAAAUUGGGCUAAUACCGCAUAACAUCGCGAUGGCACAUGCUGUUGCGAUCAAAGGCGCAAGUCGCCACAAGAGGGAUCCGCGGCCGAUUAGCUUGUUGGCGAGGUAAUGGCUCACCAAGGCAAUGAUCGGUAGCCGGACUGAGAGGUUGGCCGGCCACACUGGAACUGAGACACGGUCCAGACUCCUACGGGAGGCAGCAGUGGGGAAUCUUGCACAAUGGACGAAAGUCUGAUGCAGCAACGCCGCGUGGGGGAUGAAGCCUCUCGGAGUGUAAACCCCUUUCGACCCGGAAGAAUGCCCGCAAGGGUAUGACGGUACGGGUAUAAGAAGCCCCGGCUAACUACGUGCCAGCAGCCGCGGUAAUACGUAGGGGGCCAGCGUUGCUCGGAAUUACUGGGCGUAAAGGGUCCGUAGGCGGUGUAGCAAGUCGAUAGUGAAAUCUCUGCGCUUAACGCAGAGGCUGCUAACGAAACUGCUGUGCUAGAGUGUGAGAGAGGCGAGUGGAAUUACGGGUGUAGCGGUGAAAUGCGUAGAUAUCCGUAGGAACAUCCGAGGCGAAGGCGGCUCGCUGGAUCACAACUGACGCUGAGGGACGAAAGCUAGGGGAGCAAACAGGAUUAGAUACCCUGGUAGUCCUAGCCCUAAACCAUCAGGACUUGGGGUUUGCCCUGUACGGGGCAAGUCCCGUAGCUAACGCGUUAAGUCCUGCGCCUGGGGAGUACGGUCGCAAGGCUGAAACUC